GGCAUCUUGUUAAAAAGUAGAUUCUGAUUCAGUAAGUCUAGGGUGGGGCCUAAGAUUCUGCAUUUUUAACAAGCUC
rnacentral:miRNA from 1 species